rfam:Trichobilharzia regenti genome assembly, scaffold: TRE_scaffold0035116
GUACUACUGAAGAGUCCCAAACUAGGACGAAACAGCUGUCCAGUAC